rnacentral:lncRNA from 1 species
AUCGGUCGUUCACAUUUUAGAGUGAAAUGGUUCAAAUGGUUGCUCUCCUCUCAACACCUAGCUGAGGUUACCUGUAUUAAAAGAAUGGGACAUCUGAAAUGGUUGGAGAGAGAGGAGUUAUACUGUAGGAGGGGACCUGCUUGGAGGUGAAGGCCCUCUUCCGAAUAUGGGGCAGCAGAGAUCUGGAUGAGAUGACUGUCGCCAAGAACUGCAUCGCUAACCUUGACCAGCAGAAACACAGAUCUAUUGCUAUACUACGCAAAUGUUUCAGAAGCAGACGAGGGAACAAGAUGUGAACUGUUGGGCUUCUGAAGAAAAAGGCCCUUCCUCCGCUUCCCGCGAAGGUUUGUACAAGUGAGUCGUUGGGCUCCUGCAAUUAUUCUAUGCAACACCCAGCAGAUUUGAAGAUGAAUAAUCAACUUUUGACCUUUCUUUCCCCACCUCCUUCAGACCUUUUAUCACGAGUGUGAAAAUCACUAGCUGCAUGUGCAAGUAUCUGUUAGAGUGUAACAUAUCCGCAAACUGGAUGUGACCAAGACUUGCCUUAAUAGUAUACGUACUUACCUGUAGAGGAAAGCUACAGUACUUGCUGACUACAUAAGAAUGUGAAGCUUGUUUUUGCUCGAACUGAAUGUCCUGUGUUUGGAGUUCAUAGCAUGUUAAAAUUAAACAAACGCAAUAGUGUGUU